GCGUGAGCAGCACGACGAUCAACGAAUCAGCGAAUCAAAGCAAAGUGCGUUUAAAUGAAUAAAAGUGUAAAUACGUUAAAAAGUGCAAGUUUCAAAUAAAUAGUUACUAAAUAUAAAGUGCAGCAAAAGAAAUUAUGCAAUGGAUUGCGAAGGCGGCAGCAGCGUCUACAAGACAGCGACUGUCCAGCUCUCCAGCUCCAACUUUAACUCCAGGUCGUAGCCACCCCCCACCCCCUUCCCCAGCCACUACACACAGUUCAAGAUGUUUGCCGACGCGCACAAUGUGCGGCUUUAAGAAAUGCCGAAUUCCAGAAGCUACAGUACAAUCAGUUGAAUUAAACAAGAUCGGAGCAGCGAGCAGCGACCACAACGAGCAUUAAAUACUCUUUUAUUUUUCAUCUGGCUUAAGCAAUUAAUUGCUUAAUUUUUCGCAAACUACGCCUGAUUAGCAUACAUUGGGCCUGGAUAGAGUAUACAAAAGGCAGAGGGGCGACUGUGGAUAACGACGCGCUGGCGACGAUAUCAUCGCAGCUGCAGCAGCAGCCUAGGAAAUUAAGAGGACAUUGUGGCGGCAUGUGGUUAGAACUGAACGCGCAAUGCGCAACGCUCGUGGCGGCGGCUUAAACACAACGAAAAUUUAGCUAGACCGAUGCAGGCCACGCAAGAUUCUUAGCGUUGUUGCGUUGUUGGUGGCUCAACUGGCCACUGGACACAGCCACUGACAGAGGUCGCCCUCGUACGUAAUCGUCGGAGCAUUCGCAAUGCUUUUGUGCCGUCUGUUUGGCCUGUCGUUCGACUUUGCCAUGGCUUGGCUGCUGCCUUGUGCUGCGCACGUGGCCAACUUGGUGACGCUUGGCCCCAAGCAACAGCAGCAGCAACAUGAGCAGCAGCAGCAGCAAAUCAUUGAAAUGUCGUUAGAGCUGCGGUUGGGGCGGCACGCGGCUGCGAUAGUCAGCCGAACCGCAAAAUGCUUUUAAUUUCUCAAACUGAUAUGUACUUAAGUUGUGUACAAAGGAGCAGCAACAGAAUUCAACGAAGGGGGUGGGGCUAGAGAUUGCAGCUAGAAAAUUGAAUUAAAUUGUGAUUUGCAUGCGGAGGAUUCUUUUGUGCGGAGUGCACAGAAGUAAAAGUAACAAAAUCUUAAAAAGAAAGUAAACCAAAGAAUUUGCUGUUGAGUUGUUGAAGAAAAUAUAAAUGCCAAAUAUUCUUCUUCUUUUUAUGC